rnacentral:piRNA from 1 species
GAGAUGUGGACAUUGUGGUGUGGA